rnacentral:tRNA from 1 species
CGGGGCGUAGCUCAGCCUGGCAGAGCGCUGCGUUCGGGACGCAGAGGUCGGAGGUUCAAAUCCUCUCGCCCCGACCA